GAUUAACGCUGGCGGCGUGCAUAACACAUGCAAGUCGAACGAUGAAACUUUAAUGAACCCUUCGGGGAGAAUUAAAGCGGAUUAGUGGCGAACGGGUGAGUAACGCGUGAGUAACCUGCCUUACACAAGGGGAUAGCCUUUGGAAACGAAGAAUAAUACCCUAUAAAACCAUAAAAGCACAUGCAAUUAUGGUCAAAGUGAUAGCGGUGUAAGAUGGACUUGCGUCUGAUUAGCUAGUUGGUGAGAUAAAAGCCCACCAAGGCAACGAUCAGUAGCCGGCUUGAGAGAGUGUACGGCCACAUUGGGACUGAGACACGGCCCAGACUCCUACGGGAGGCAGCAGUGGGGAAUUUUGCACAAUGGGGGAAACCCUGAUGCAGCGACGCCGCGUGAUUUAGAAGGCCUUCGGGUUGUAAAAAUCUUUUGUAUAGGAAGAAAGUGACAGUACUAUACGAAUAAGGUCCGGCUAAUUACGUG
rnacentral:rRNA from 1 species